rnacentral:snRNA from 1 species
GCAGAGGGUGAUCUGGCUGAGACAUCUGUCAACUCUCUGAUUGCCAGGGUUGAUUUGGCUGAUCUGGAUAGCUAGACAAGUGUCUCUGUCCUCCCUCACUGUAUCAUGUGCCUCCACCCUGAGCUGUGCACUUGGUCAAAGAGAAAAACCUCCCACAAGAUGAGGACCACUCUUUGGUCAAGGGUGUACCAGCAGCUGUGCUCCUCUGCCAGGACCUCCAAACAAACACUAAAGAUCCAAACAAAAAUAACAUUCCCCAUAUACUAUGAAAUUUCUUAAUUAGUUAUCUUAAAAGGAUUAUUAUUAUUA